rnacentral:tRNA from 1 species
GCCCUAGUAGCUCAGAGUCUUAGAGCGCCGGUCUUGUAAGCCGGAUGCCGGAGGUUAAACUCCCCCCUAGUGCU